UCCGGUUUGGCACCGGCAGUCUCUCUAGAGUCCCCGCCAUGACGCGCUGGCAACUAGAGACGAGGGUUGCGCUCGUUGCGGGACUUAACCCAACAUCUCACGACACGAGCUGACGACAGCCAUGCAGCACCUGUGCACGGGUCCCGAAGGAGGCCCCCCGUUUCCGGGGGGUUUCCCGUACAUGUCAAGCCCAGGUAAGGUUCUUCGCGUUGCGUCGAAUUAAACCACAUGCUCCACCGCUUGUGCGGGCCCCCGUCAAUUCCUUUGAGUUUCAGCCUUGCGGCCGUACUCCCCAGGCGGGGCACUUAAUGCGUUAGCGCCGGCACCCGGGGGGUCGCUCCCCCAAGCACCUAGUGCCCAUCGUUUACGGCGUGGACUAC
rnacentral:misc_RNA from 1 species